rnacentral:rRNA from 1 species
GUCUACAGCCAUACCACUGUGAAUGUACCUGAUCUCAGAAGCUAAGCAAGGUGGGGCUUGCUUAGUACUUUGAUGGGAGACUCUCUGGGAAUACUGGAUGCUAUGGAAG